rnacentral:sRNA from 2 species
GGCGGUGUGCUGCUCAGUCCGUUUCUGAUUUAUGUGCUGAUGGCGCUGGCGCUGACCGGCGUGCUGCGCCUGGUGGUGCAGGCCACGCCCCUGGGGCGCUGGAUCUGGCAUGAAGCGCUGUUCGACACGGCGUUG